AGUUUAUUUGUAAAUAGCAGUGCAGUCGUAAGAACUCAAGUCAAGAAGACAAGUCAAAUCAGCAAUAGAGAAAGUAGGUGUACCUCGCGAUUAUCGGUAAAUUGUCAGCACAUUCAAGAUAUACAGAAGGAAAUCUUAGAUCAUUUACUCAGCUGCCUUUGAAACAUUUGGAAUGUAUCGAUCAAUGAUAAAAUGGCUGACCAAACAAGUCCAGUAACUGAUGUACCCCAGGGCCCCUGGCAUCUCAAUAUGACCUCCAAUCUACAAGACCACAUUCCCAGAGUGGAACAGGCAGUGUCCGGGUUUGUCCCCCAUAUCAUGGGCCCCAGCACUCACCAUCGAGUCAUCCUCAACCGCCUCAACUCCAGAGAGCACCACUUGGAACCGACCCAUGAAUCCUCGGUCGUCGUAGACGUCGACACGGACCCUCAGCAGUUUACUCCCGGACAGGAAGAAAAUAACCCUAAUCUAUUGUCUCACGAACAUUUCCAGAUCCCAAGUAGUUUCUUUCAGGACGAGAACCAGAAUGGUUUACCGGGUCAGGGUGAGGGAGGGGAGCACGGACAUGCACAUGACGGUGCAACCAAUCGCUUCAGUAUCAAGAGUAUCAUCCUCAAUUCCGGGGGAUUUUUAGCCAUCAUUUCCUUAAAACUGCUAUCACAACACUUUCUUGGAUUCUUUGUUUUUCUGGCCAUGUUUGGGACACAUGUGUAUGCCAAUAUGACAAUGCAGAAAGUGGUGCACCAGUCCUCUCUUAGAAAUUCCUCCUGUCGCGGGCAGGUUCUACCAUUCCUAUGGAUCAUCACUUUCCUGUCGGCCAAUAUAGCUGUCGUCAUGUACGCUUUUAAAGAAGAAGUGCUUUGGAAUGUACUGAUGUUUCAACUCCCAGUGCUGCACAACUCCGAUUUCUGGGAUUAUUUGUGGAUGGUUCUUGUGACAGAUUUUAUCCUGAAAUUUUCUACUAUUAUUAUCAAAGCAUUUUUAUCACUUCUACCUUUUGGACAGAAGAGAAGGGGAAAGAUUUACAUGGUAGUGGAGAAUGUGAUGCAGAUGUACCGAUUACUGACUCCCAUAAUUCCAUGGUUCCACUUCCUGUAUGAUGACCAGGGAAUGGUGCUUGGCAUUAUUCUUGUAGCCUUAUAUUUCCUAAUGAAGAUUUUCCAGUGUCUUGCAAAAGUCCUUGAAGUCUUCAAGUCUUUCAAGAGCUUAUUGUCGGACGUGUCCUAUGGAUCCCGACCCUCGUCCACUGAAAUCAACCAGUGUGGGGAGAACUGUCCCAUAUGUCAGGACGACUACAAGGACCCAAUCAAACUGGCCUGUAAAGUAAGCUUUCCCCGACAAAUAGCACACCUGUAUGGUUUACCUGACAAAUAUACCACACGUGUAAGAUUUACCUGGCAAAUAGCACACCUGUAAGGUUUACUUGACAAGUAGCACACCUGUAAAAUUAAACUGACAAAUAGCACACCUGUAAGAUUUACCUGACAACUGUAUUUACCUGACAACUGUAUCUUCAGGUGUUAUUGCACGAAUGAUAUGGGUAAUUGCUUUUGUUUACACAUUUUUCAUUAGAUAAACUUAAUUUUGAUUUUUGAUUUCAGCAUAUAUUUUGUGAGAAUUGUGUCUCCAUGUGGUUCGAUAGAGAAAAGACUUGUCCCAUGUGCAGAGCACAAAUCCACACAGAAUCUCCACUGUGGAAAGACGGAUCAACCAGCAUCCACAUCCAGUGGUACUGAUCUCCUCUAUCUGCCAGCUGUGAUAAAACAGAUCCACAUUGGAUAGUGCUCCACUAGGCAUCUGGAUAAAAUAAAUAUUAUUGAUUGAUUGAAUAAAUGGGAUAUCAU
rnacentral:misc_RNA from 1 species